rnacentral:rRNA from 1 species
GUAGGUGGCAAGCGUUGUCCGGAAUUAUUGGGCGUAAAGCGCGCGCAGGUGGUUCUUUAAGUCUGAUGUGAAAGCCCCCGGGCUCAACCGGGGAGGGUCAUCGGAAACUGGGGAACUUGAGUGCAGGAGAGGAAAGUGGAAUUCCACGUGUAGCGGUGAAAUGCGUAGAUAUGUGGAGGAACACCAGUGGCGAAGGCGACUUUCUGGCCUGUAACUGACACUGAGGCGCGAAAGCGUGGGGAGCAAACAGGAUAGAUACCCUGGUAGUCCACGCCGUAAACGAUGAGUGCUAAGUGUUGGGGGGUUUCCGCCCCUCAGUGCUGCAGCUAACGCAUUAAGCACUCCGCCUGGGGAGUACGGUCGCAAAGACUG